rnacentral:rRNA from 1 species
CCCUUAGAUGUUCUGGGCUGCACGCGCGCUACACUGAUGCGUUCAACGAGUUUAUGACCUUGCCCGAUAGGGUUGGGUAAUCUUUUUAAAUCGCAUCGUGAUGGGGAUAGAUUAUUGCAAUUAUUAAUCUUCAACGAGGAAUUCCUAGUAAGCGCGAGUCAUCAGCUCGUGCUGAUUACGUCCCUGCCCUUUGUACACACCGCCCGUCGCUCCUACCGAUUGAAUGAUCCGAUGAAUACCAUGGAUUGAGAGUACGAAUAGGUUCGCUUAUUUCUGCUGCUCGAGAAGUGGAGUAAAUCUUAUCAUUUAGAGGAAGGAGAAGUCGUAACA